UACAACUCCCCGAAAAUUCUCACACGCCGCUGUGACAAACGCUUGCCAUUUCUGUCUCUGUGUCCCAUGGCAUCCACAGGACCUGCUCAAGGUUUUCUGCUGCAGUAUGAUUUGGUAUGCAGUUUGCACAGUCCACUGGGAUGGAGCACAUGCACCAGCAGCCACACAGAGAUAUUGCUAUGGGGCUCCUAGCACAGAGCUUUGGAUAUGACUGAGGGUGAAAACUACUUCACCUGGGUCCAUAUCCUACCAGGGAGAACUUGCCAUAGCACCUCAGGUGUGAGAAAUUGCCCCUUCUGUUAAAGCUCAGGUGUUUUAUAGCAAAACCCACACAGUUCUAGGUGUCUGCAGUAGGCUCAGGAAGGCUCACUGAAGAUACUCUCACCAAAAUCUGCGGCCUGCAUGUGUGCCAUGGCUAAGAGGCACCCAGCAUGUUUCCCUGCAGCAUCCAGGAGCUGGCAUGCCUCCAGCAGCAGAGUGGGGAAAUGCACACAGAUGAAAUGUUUGGGUUGUUUUUUCCCCUCUCUGUCAUUCCUGAGUCACUGUUGAUCUAUUGGGAAGUGAAGGAUCUCAAA